UUGUUUUUCUAACCACUCAGUUUCCAGUUGGUGCUGGAGUUCUCAGGUGUACUGGAUGACAGGUGUCUCCUAUCUGCUGAUUGCUUGGAGGACUACUUAAGAGGGAGGCUGCCAGCACUUCAAUGCCAGAGUGUUUGCCUUAUUGGUUUUUACCUGAGGCUUUGUUUACCUUGCUGAGUCCUGACUUCGUUCCAGAGUAUCUCUGAGCAUCUGAUCUGGAUUAUCAACUACUGAGUUAAGGAUCUAUCUUCCUGUGGAUUUCUCUCUCUACCGUCUGAACCUUUCGGACACGGACCAAGCUGGCGGCUUCCCGUUUCCUCCAACUCCGGGACCCAAGCAUCAUCAUACCCUGUCCCUCCCUCCAUCUCAAAUAUCGGCACUUGAGCUCCAUUUGGCUGGCACCAAGAUCACAACAGAGAAGACAACUGAACGAUCUUCCUUCGCAAGUUAAGACUCAGAAUCUCUCUACCCCUGGUGGUUCUAGCUACAACAAUUUAGUAAGCCAUUUCUCAGAUCUAAGUAAUCAGUUACUUCAUAUCAUUCGUUUGUUCACCAGUCCAUUCUUCUUCCUUCCCGUACCAUUGGUGUUUCCAGUCCUCUUCCCAGAUUACUUUGCUGACAAUAAAAUCCAUAAAACUUUC